CCUACGGGUGGCUGCAGUGAGGAAUAUUGGUCAAUGGGCGGGAGCCUGAACCAGCCAAGUCGCGUGAGGGAAGACGGUCCUAUGGAUUGUAAACCUCUUUAGUCGGGGAGCAAUGCCGGGCACGCGUGCCCGGAGGGAGAUUACCCGCAGAAUAAGCAUCGGCUAACUCCGUGCCAGCAGCCGCGGUAAUACGGAGGAUGCGAGCGUUAUCCGGAUUUAUGGGGUUUAAGGGGUGCGUAGGCGGAUUUUUAAGUCAGGGGUAAAAUGUCCGGGCUCAACCCGGGCCGGCCGUUGAAACUGGCGAGCUGGAGUGGGAGAGAAGUAUGCGGAAUGCGGGGUGUAGCGGUGAAAUGCAUAGAUAUCACGCAGAACCCCGAUUGCGAAGGCAGCAUACCGGCGCCAGACUGACGCUGAGGCACGAAAGCGUGGGGAUCGAACAGGAUUAGAUACCCUAGUAGUC
rnacentral:rRNA from 1 species